rnacentral:rRNA from 1 species
CACGUAGGGGGCGAGCGUUGUCCGGAUUUAUUGGGCGUAAAGAGCUCGUAGGCGGCUCAGUAAGUCGGGUGUGAAACCUCCAGGCUCAACCUGGAGACGCCACCUGAUACUGCUGUGGCUUGAGUCCGGUAGGGGAGCGUGGAAUUCCUGGUGUAGCGGUGAAAUGCGCAGAUAUCAGGAGGAACACCAGCGGCGAAGGCGGCGCUCUGGGCCGGUACUGACGCUGAGGAGCGAAAGCGUGGGUAGCAAACAGG